CUUUAGCAGCAGUAAGAAGAGAAGGCACAGUUUGACAUUUCUUAUUGAUUGAGAAGAAGGAAGGCACAGUUUGACAUUUCUUAUUGAUUGACC